AGCUUUGCACAGUGGUAGUAUUGUAGUCAAUUAGGUUUAUCCGAGGCACCAUUAUUGCUAGUUGUAAAGUUUCUAAUCUAUUUCCAACAUUUAUAUUGUAUCAGAAUCUAUUGACUUUUUAAAAACUAAUUAUUGG
ensembl:snRNA U4 U4 spliceosomal RNA